UUGUUUACCCAUCUUACUGUA
rnacentral:piRNA from 1 species